rnacentral:rRNA from 1 species
UGGCGGGCGGGUGAGGAAUACAUCGGAAUCUACUCUGUCGUGGGGGAUAACGUAGGGAAACUUACGCUAAUACCGCAUACGACCUACGGGUGAAAGCAGGGGAUCUUCGGACCUUGCGCGAUUGAAUGAGCCGAUGUCGGAUUAGCUAGUUGGCGGGGUAAAGGCCCACCAAGGCGACGAUCCGUAGCUGGUCUGAGAGGAUGAUCAGCCACACUGGAACUGAUACACGGUCCAGACUCCUACGGGAGGCAGCAGCG